UACAUAAUUCAGGCAAACAUUUCACAGGUGAACAUCGUAUAAAGUGAAACACUUAAAAUUUGCCAAAUUUUGCCUCUAAUGCAUGCCACUGUUCACCGUAAGUCAUAUCUAGCAAAAAUUUGACUUACAAUUCCCUGACAUUUUGACAGGCCAUGUAGGGGAGACCGGGGUUAGUUGUCCCAGGGGCAAGUUGACCAAAUGGCAUUAAUUAGUGCCCUCUUCUUUUAAAAAAUCACAAAAAAUUCUGUAGUGUACAGUAUGACCUCAAGGUGUCUUAUGUGUAAUUUGAUGGCCUUCCAUGCAGAACUGUGGAAGCUGCAGACGAAAACGUGUUUUCAUACGUCAUUUCAAAAAUUGUGAAUUUACGGUUGCCUCAGGCUUUUUGACAUAAACUUUUUCCUUGGAAAGUCGACGACAGUCUCAUUGUAAUCCUCAGGUGAAAUGAGGACAUAUGUAAAGAAGACUAAUAGGGGUGAAAUUUCUAAAGAUAUUUGGAUGCUGGCCAUCAAGGCCAUGGUAAUCCCUGUUCGACAUUUGGGUUACGAAUUUCUCUGUAGGAAAUUGCCGAAAUGCAUCCAUCACUCGAUCGCUUUAAUAACGUAGAAAUUCGCGGUAUUGGAUAGAAACGAUGGAUGAAAAGAAAAAUGCAGUAUAAGCAAUUCGUAUAAAAGAGAUUUAUUUUUUUUUUCUCGGGAGAUGGGAAAAAAAAACGAAAUGUGUCAGCGAAAAUCGAACUCGACUGCCGGUUUUUUUUUUGUGCUGCCGUUGCUCAUUUUCUUAAAUUAUGCCAAAAAAAAUGGCAGAGUUUUGCGUAACAAAAAUCUCAUCAUUGGAUGAAAUGUGCGUUCGUUAUCUUUUUUUUUCUCUCUCAUGCUCACUAAGAUUGAUUGAUUCACGGUAUCGUCUUUUGUUUGAAUUGUACCAUAGCGCAAAUGAGAAAAGGAAUUUGAAUAUCGGUAAAGCCCAAAAGCAUUUCACCAUAUCGAAAAUGAAGGGAUUCUUUCAAAUCAUUCACCUAAUAACGAACAGCAGCGCCUUGAUGGCCUUGAUGGCCAUCAUAAUUACCAAUGACAACAACUCCUUGGGUAAAAUGCCUUGGCAAAACUUGUAAAUCAUGGGGACAUGUUGAUUGUGUCGAUCCACAGUUUGUGUGUGACGAAUGCAACGGCGAUCUACAGGCAUAAAGUGCCCAUAUCGUUAGACGGACAAUUUACCCCAAGCUCGGGACAACUAACCCCAAGCCGGGGGUAAAUUGUCCGAAAAAAUGGGUGUCACAUUUUGUUUUAUUCUGAUUGAAUAAACAGAGAUAA